GCAGGGCAUGGUGGCACAUGCCUGUAAUCCUAGUUACUCAGGAGACUGAGGCAGGAGGAUUACAAGUUUGAGGCCAGCCUGUCCAACUUAGAGAGACCCUGUCUUAA
rnacentral:sRNA from 1 species